CCUUUGUACACACCGCCCGUCGCUACUACCGAUUGAAUGGCUUAGUGAGGUCUCCGGAUCGACUUCGAGGAGCCGGCAACGGCACCUUGUUGGUGAGAAGCUGAUCAAACUUGGUCAUUUAGAGG
rnacentral:rRNA from 1 species